rnacentral:snRNA from 1 species
AUUGCUUCUUGGCCUUGGCUAAGAUCAAGUGU